rnacentral:rRNA from 1 species
CCUACGGGAGGCAGCAGUGGGGAAUUUUCCGCAAUGGGCGAAAGCCUGACGGAGCAACGCCGCGUGGGGGAUGAAGGCCUCUGGGCUGUAAACCCCUUUUCUCAAGGAAGAAGACCUGACGGUACUUGAGGAAUAAGCCACGGCUAAUUCCGUGCCAGCAGCCGCGGUAAUACGGGAGUGGCAAGCGUUAUCCGGAAUUAUUGGGCGUAAAGCGUCCGCAGGCGGCCUAUUAAGUCUGUCGUUAAAGCGUGGAGCUCAACUCCAUUUAAGCGAUGGAAACUGGAAGGCUAGAGUGUGGUAGGGGCAGAGGGAAUUCCCGGUGUAGCGGUGAAAUGCGUAGAUAUCGGGAAGAACACCAGUGGCGAAGGCGCUCUGCUGGGCCAUAACUGACGCUCAUGGACGAAAGCCAGGGGAGCGAAAGGGAUUAGAUACCCCUGUAGUCCUGGCCGUAAACGAUGAACACUAGGUGUCGGGGGAAUCGACCCCCUCGGUGUCGUAGCUAACGCGUUAAGUGUUCCGCCUGGGGGAGGUACGCGCGCGAGUAGUAGUAAACGUAAAGGUAAGUUAGACGGCGUGAGACGUCGCCGAACGGACGACGACGAGGGGUAGGUUAGG